GGUCCGUAUCUCAGUGGUAGAGCAUCUGCUUUGCAUGCAGAAGGUCCCAGGUUCAAGCCCCAGCAUCUCCA